rnacentral:rRNA from 1 species
UACAUAGGGUGCAAGCGUUACUCGGAAUUACUGGGCGUAAAGCGUGCGCAGGCGGUGAUGUAAGACAGGUGUGGAAUCCCCGGGCUUAACCUGGGAACUGCAUUUGUGACUGCAUCGCUGGAGUGCGGCAGAGGGGGAUGGAAUUCCGCGUGUAGCAGUGAAAUGCGUAGAUAUGCGGAGGAACACCGAUGGCGAAGGCAAUCCCCUGGGCCUGCACUGACGCUCAUGCACGAAAGCGUGGGGAGCAAACAGG